rnacentral:rRNA from 1 species
GUAAGGAAUAUUGGACAAUGGACGCAAGUCUGAUCCAGCCAUGCCGCGUGAAGGAUUAAGGUCCUCUGGAUUGUAAACUUCUUUUAUAAGGGACGAAAAAAGGCUUUUCUAAGUCGUCUGACGGUACCUUAUGAAUAAGCACCGGCUAACUCCGUGCCAGCAGCCGCGGUAAUACGGAGGGUGCAAGCGUUAUCCGGAUUCACUGCGUUUAAAGGGGGCGUAGGCGGGCAGGUAAGUCAGUGGUGAAAUCCUAGAGCUUAACUCUAGAACUGCCAUCGAUACUAUCUGUCUUGAAUAUUGUUGAGGUAAGCGGAAUAUGUCAUGUAGCGGUGAAAUGCUUAGAUAUGACAUAGAACACCUAUUGCGAAGGCAGCUUACUACGCAUAUAUUGACGCUGAGGCACGAAAGCGUGGGGAUCAAACAGGAUUAGAAACCCGCGUAGUCC